rnacentral:rRNA from 1 species
UACGUAGGGGGCAAGCGUUGUCCGGAAUCAUUGGGCGUAAAGCGCGUGUAGGCGGCUCGAUAAGUCUGCUGUGAAGGUUCAGGGCUCAACCCUGAAAUGCCGGUGGAAACUGUCGAGCUAGAGUCCGGAAGAGGCGAGUGGAAUUCCUGGUGUAGCGGUGAAAUGCGCAGAUAUCAGGAGGAACACCAAUGGCGAAGGCAGCUCGCUGGGACGGUACUGACGCUGAGACGCGAAAGCGUGGGGAGCAAACAGG